rnacentral:rRNA from 1 species
UACGAAGGGGGCUAGCGUUGUUCGGAAUUACUGGGCGUAAAGCGCGCGCAGGCGGUCUUCCAAGUCAGUGGUGAAAGCCUGGAGCUCAACUCCAGAACUGCCAUUGAAACUGUUGGACUUGAGUACGAGAGAGGUGAGUGGAAUUCCCAGUGUAGAGGUGAAAUUCGUAGAUAUUGGGAAGAACACCAGUGGCGAAGGCGGCUCACUGGCUCGUAACUGACGUUCAGGCGCGACAGCGUGGGGAUCAAACAGG